rnacentral:rRNA from 1 species
AUUUAGGUAGCGCCUCGUGAACUCAUCUUCGGGGGUAGAGCACUGUUUCGGCUAGGGGGCCAUCCCGGCUUACCAACCCGAUGCAAACUACGAAUACCGAAGAAUGUUAUCACGGGAGACACACGGCGGGUGCUAACGUCCGUCGUGAAGAGGGAAACAACCCAGACCGCCAGCUAAGGUCCCAAAGUCAUGGUUAAGUGGGAAACGAUGUGGGAAGGCACAGACAGCCAGGAUGUUGGCUUAGAAGCAGCCAUCAUUUAAAGAAAGCGUAAUAGCUCACUGGUCGAGUCGGCCUGCGCGGAAGAUGUAACGGGGCUAAACCAUGCACCGAAGCUGCGGCAGCGACACUUAUGUGUUGUUGGGUAGGGGAGCGUUCUGUAAGCCGUUGAAGGUGUGCUGUGAGGCAUGCUGGAGGUAUCAGAAGUGCGAAUGCUGACAUAAGUAACGAUAAAGCGGGUGAAAAGCCCGCUCGCCGGAAGACCAAGGGUUCCUGUCCAACGUUAAUCGGGGCAGGGUGAGUCGACCCCUAAGGCGAGGCCGAAAGGCGUAGUCGAUGGGAAACAGGUUAAUAUUCCUGUACUUGGUGUUACUGCGAAGGGGGGACGGAGAAGGCUAUGUCAGCCGGGCGACGGUUGUCCCGGUUUAAGCAUGUAGGCGGAGGUUCCAGGUAAAUCCGGUACCUUGUUAACGCUGAGGUGUGAUGACGAGGCACUACGGUGCUGAAGUGAUAAAUGCCCUGCUUCCAGGAAAAGCCUCUAAGCAUCAGGUAACACGAAAUCGUACCCCAAACCGACACAGGUGGUCAGGUAGAGAAUACCAAGGCGCUUGAGAGAACUCGGGUGAAGGAACUAGGCAAAAUGGUGCCGUAACUUCGGGAGAAGGCACGCUGAUGUGUAGGUGAAGCCCCUGCGGGUGGAGCUGAAAUCAGUCGAAGAUACCAGCUGGCUGCAACUGUUUAUUAAAAACACAGCACUGUGCAAACACGAAAGUGGACGUAUACGGUGUGACGCCUGCCCGGUGCCGGAAGGUUAAUUGAUGGGGUUAGCGGCAACGCGAAGCUCUUGAUCGAAGCCCCGGUAAACGGCGGCCGUAACUAUAACGGUCCUAAGGUAGCGAAAUUCCUUGUCGGGUAAGUUCCGACCUGCACGAAUGGCGUAAUGAUGGCCAGGCUGUCUCCACCCGAGACUCAGUGAAAUUGAACUCGCUGUGAAGAUGCAGUGUACCCGCGGCAAGACGGAAAGACCCCGUGAACCUUUACUAUAGCUUGACACUGAACACUGGUCCUUGAUGUGUAGGAUAGGUGGGAGGCUUUGAAGCGUGGACGCCAGUCUGCGUGGAGCCGCCCUUGAAAUACCACCCUUUAAUGGCUGGUGUUCUAACGUGGACCCGUAAUCCGGGUUGCGGACAGUGUCUGGUGGGUAGUUUGACUGGGGCGGUCUCCUCCCAAAGAGUAACGGAGG